GUGUCAGGAAUUAUGGGCGUAAAGAGCUCGUAGGCGGUUUGUCGCGUCUGCUGUGAAAGCCCGGGGCUCAACCCCGGGUCUGCAGUGGGUACGGGCAGACUAGAGUGCAGUAGGGGAGACUGGAAUUCUGGUGUAGCGGUGAAAUGCGCAGAUAUCAGGAGGAACACCGAUGGCGAAGGCAGGUCUCUGGGCUGUAACUGACGCUGAGGAGCGAAAGCAUGGGGAGCGAACAGGAUUAGAUACCCUGGUAGUCCAUGCCGUAAACGUUGGGCACUAGGUGUGGGGGACAUUCCACGUUUUCCGCGCCGUAGCUAACGCAUUAAGUGCCCCGCCUGGGGAGUACGGCCGCAAGGCUAAAACUCAAAGGAAUUGACGGGGGCCCGCACAAGCGGCGGAGCAUGCGGAUUAAUUCGAUGCAACGCGAAGAACCUUACCAAGGCUUGACAUGGACCGGACCGCCGCAGAAAUGCGGUUUCCCUUCGGGGCUGGUUUACAGGUGGUGCAUGGUUGUCGUCAGCUCGUGUCGUGAGAUGUUGGGUUAAGUCCCGCAACGAGCGCAACCCUCGUUCUAUGUUGCCAGCGCGUUAUGGCGGGGACUCAUAGGAGACUGCCGGGGUCAACUCGGAGGAAGGUGGGGACGACGUCAAAUCAUCAUGCCCCUUAUGUCUUGGGCUUCACGCAUGCUACAAUGGCCGGUACAAAGGGUUGCGAUACUGUGAGGUGGAGCUAAUCCCAAAAAGCCGGUCUCAGUUCGGAUUGAGGUCUGCAACUCGACCUCAUGAAGUCGGAGUCGCUAGUAAUCGCAGAUCAGCAACGCUGCGGUGAAUACGUUCCCGGGCCUUGUACACACCGCCCGUCAAGUCACGAAAGUUGGUAACACCCGAAGCCGGUGGCCUAACCCCUUGUGGGAGGAGCCGUCGAUAUA
rnacentral:rRNA from 1 species